rnacentral:pre_miRNA from 10 species
UGUGCUCUGCAGAGUGAGGUAGUUGGUUGUAUGGUUUGGCGUAAUAAUCAGCCGGGAGAUAACUGUACAGCUCUCUAGCUUCCCCUGCGGAGUCAC